rnacentral:lncRNA from 1 species
GACGAUCCAAACUUCGGUCAACAAAAUCAGCCCAAGAUACAACUUUCUCUUCUCUUUAGCUUCAUCAUCUUCAUCAAAAUUAGGGAGAAAACAUACGCACACAUAAAAAAAACUCCAUCGAUUAUCCAGACAAACUUCAACUACUUUUCUGCGCAACCCAUCCCCCUACCCUGAAAAUCCACUGAACCUCUCUUACCCCUUCAAUCACGUCUGAGUAUCAGUAGCGCCCAGACCUUAUCCCUAUGGAAUCCCCUCAAAUCCUCUAGAAUGCAAGCUCCAAAAUCUCUUUACCUCUGAUAUCUCACAGAGAUUAAGGCUUCAUUGUUGACUGCAGACUCAUGGUUACUUGUUUUGUUGCCCAAAAUCCCAUCUGACUCAGAACCAUCAAUCAAAUUCAGAUUAUUGAGGAUAUAUUUUCAUCUCCUUUCACCUUUGUCAAAUUUGAAUCCCUUCCAUAUCUCAAAGGUUUAAGCUUUGAAAUUCAAAAUUGAUUAUUUUCUUGCUAUAAAUAGCUGCAUCCAAUUUCGUUGAAGACAGAGAAAAACCCAGUUAAAAAACCUCAAGAAAGCCAGUAAACAUUCAUAGCCUUGGAGAUUUAGAAGCUUUUACACAAUCAGAAACUCAAGUUUAAGAUUCAAAAUAGCAUAAACACAACAUAAAUUCAAAGUUCUUCGUGAUUUUCUUUCUUGCCAAUUCAAACCCGAGCUCGAGUUUGGGUUAAAGAGGUUGUGAUCCCACUGAAACCUCGACGUCGGAGCCUCAGUUUUUCUUUCCAACACAAGGUAAAUCAUUUUCCAUCUUAAUUAUGUUAUACUUAAUUUUUGUUAAUUAUUUAGUGUGCAGUUAGCCGGGGUGAUGGCUAUCUGUUUAGAAAGUAUAAAAAAGUGAAACAAAAGUAUUUUUGGGUUUACGAUUACGUGUGUUUGUGACUUGUGAUUUUACUUGAGUAGAUUUUAUCCCAUCCAAUUAUAUUACAUUUAUUUUGGUGAUUCUGGUUUGAGUCUGUCAUUCCCAUUUAUCCGAUCAUGAAUAUAAACAUAAGAUAAAACGGUGUUUGGUCAUCUGAUUUUGUUUAUCAUGUAAUAUGUUAUGACAUAUCUUAAUUCGUGAUUUAGAUUGAAUAAUUUUAAAUAUGAAGUUUUUAUUUGGAAUGGUCUGUUUCCAUUUUGGUUGCCAGUGAAUGCAAAUAUGAACCGGCUAUAUUCCAUGUAAUUAGUUAGGAUAUUAACUGGUGGUUUUGAGCCUGAACACGUGAAGCAAAAAUCUAUUUUCGGCUCUUUGAUUCCCUAAAAUUGGUCAUUUCAUAGGUUUGUUUUGUCUUUAGAUGUGUAAUAAUACGUGGAAUAGAGUUGAUAAUAUGAGAGGUUGUGUUUGGUCGAGAAGUGUAGGACUUAAAAUCCAUCCUCUUAUCCCAUCUCUGCCUCUUUCCAUCCGUCUGUUUUUGUUCUUUGGUACAUGAUCUAUUUUGGCGUCAAGCCAUACUGAUAUUGCUAUCUACUUUCCGGAAAAGCGAGUGUUGGCAAAUCGAGUUCAACAAUACAAUUUAGCCUUGACUGUCCUUUGUUACAAUAUACAGUUGCUUUGCGUCUAAACAUACAAAUUUGCUCUUCCGUCUCACCUUCAUCAUCCUUUCUUUCAUUUUAUUUAGGUUUUGUGAACAUGUUGUUUUGAAAUAAUUUCGAUCAAAAUUUGAGUUGUUGACAUAGACUCUAGAAAACAUGGCUUUUUAUCUGAAUGUGUUUUCUGUGUAUACGUAUGUAUGUCCCUUGACCCGUCAUCGUAUUGUUGUAGAUUACUCGCGAAUAAAAAAUUGAUCAUCUUAAAUUUAUGUGGUUUCGAUGUAUGUGUCUGCUUUAUAUCUAGAAUACGCCAAAUAUAAGGAUUCCAUUUCCCUUUUCGGUGUCUAUCAGUGGAUAUAAGUUGGUGGAGAUAUGGGAAACUAUAUUUUGUUAAUGUGAAAAUCAUCUUAUUUCUCUGUUUCCGGUGAAACUUCGCCGAAACAAGUUGGACCAAGCUGCUAGUUCUCUCUUCUGUUUUUUCUCUGACUGUUCCCCAUCUUAUUCUCUCUCACCUCUCUCAUUUGUUUUCGCACGAUCUCUUUCCACUCACUAUUUUUCUCUCAUUUUCCCUGUUUUUUUUGCGUGUUUUUUUUCUAUUUCAUACUAUUUUCUUUUCUUGCUUUUCUACUGGUUUUGCCUAAGUUUAUUUGUGUGUAUUAGUAUGAGUGGGAAUGGAGGAGUAUGUGGGCGUGUGAGUGUAAUGUGGUAUGUGUUGGCAUAGUUGUGUGCGUGAGUUUUUCUCCAGUGAGUGUGAGUGUUUGUUGGUGAGUGUAUUGUUGUCUUUGUUGAAUUAAGGAGUAAUGUGAAUCACCUAGUUUCGUUUUGUUUGUGACUAUGGGGCUGCUCGUCUUUCAAAAUUCUUUAGAGUGUUUUCCAUCGAUGGACCCAAAAGACGUCUAGGAGUCGGUCUAGCCGAGUCACGUGUUUCCCUUUCAGCCAAUUGCGUUUUAAGGGCAAAUUAACUGUCAUUAUUCAAGUUCAAAAUUUAGUACUUCUUAGACUUGUGUUGUAUAAAUAAGAUAAGUGGUCAGGAGUCUCUUAAAAUUGGUGUUUGAUUCAUAUUUCUACAUGAACAUGUGUUGUCCUUUGUAGUUUUUAUUUUCCUCAAUUUGUGAGUUUCUCUGUUUGGGUCUAGAGCUCUUUAUUUUAUUUUUAGUAGGUAGAAUUAUUUUUUUCUCUGUAGCCAUCCAUAUCAUGUCAAAUAUGUUAUAACUUAUAUGAAUUUGAAAUUUUCUUGGGUGAUAGGUUUUUAAGGAGUCAUGUUGGUAGAAGUGCGUAGGUUGGGUUUUUGAUAUUGGCUUGGCUUUAUUCUUAUUUUUACAUAUAACUAGCAUAAACUUAUAGAUUUUUUUUUCAAAGUGGGCAAUUACUUAAGCAUAAAAUGAGCUAGUUACAUGGGAUGUCUAUAGAGAUCUAUUAUGGUAGCCCAAAAACCAGAGUGUACAUUCGUAGUGUGUGCAUUGUUCCUUGUACGAUAAUAUAUUCAUGCUUUCUGCAAAUUGAUUGCCUACUGUGAGUUAUAUUUUAAGUUUAUGUCUCGUUCUAUAUUUCAUGUUCCAUUCAUUUAAUGGAACUUAAAUCAUUUUUCUAAUCCUUGUCAUUUUGUUUCAUGUAAAUUGGGGAGUUAGAGUUUCAUUCGAAACUCGUCUUGACCCAAAGAUCGGGUCAACAACUACUAGGAUCGUCAGUGCUUGGAGUUCAUAUCGUAGGAGUUGGUUCUUUCAAAGGAAUUUAGCAUGUAUCAUCCUCACUUUUCUUUAUGUUUCUUAUUGUUCGAGUUCACUCCAUUUAUUGUGUUUCAUCGAUAUUGGCUCAAGGUUUGAUUGGAUUUAUUUAGCUUAAUAUUUUUCGAAUUGAUUUCCUUUCGCUAAUUUUUCCUCAACUACUUGGCUAAGUACUAAUGGUGUAUCUUUUAAUAAAUUAUUACACACUUAUUCAUGAUACUUUUGGUACGGAAGAGCAAAUCUCUUUUUAGAAUAAAAGAGCAAAUUUUGGUUUUAAUGGCAGGCCUAAGACGAAGAUCCUUUUCGAAUUGAUUCAAGUAGCCAUGCCAUAAUCUUUACUUUUCUUUAAAUAUCAAUUAUUGGUUUUUCUUAUCAUCUUAAUUGGAUUUUCUUCAAAUAAAUUAUUAAAAUAGGUUUCGAUUAGUGCUAAAGCGGUUUGGAAUCCAUAUUUUUUAAAAAUCUAUUUCGAGUUUUCAAAUCUUAAAGUUUCCAAAAUAUACAGCGUAUAUAUGUUCCUAUACUACCAUAUAUAAGGUAUAUUUUUACUAUUACUAUUUACCACUUUUUUUUUUUAUUCAACCAUUAUUAUUAUUAUUAUUAUUAUGUGCAUACAUAUAUGUAUAUAUGUGUAUAUAUAUUUAUGUGUGUGUAUAUGUAUAUAUAUGUGUGUCUGUAUAUAUAUGUAUAUAUAUGUGUGUAUACAUAUACACACACAUGUACAUAUGUGUAUAUUAUAUACAUAUGUACAUAUGUAUAUAUAUAUACACACAUGUACAUAUGUAUAUAUCAUUAUAUAUGUAAUUCUUUUUAGUUCAAAUCUAUGAGAAUUUCACAAAUAAAACUAUAUUUCUUUUUCACAUUUUUUUCACAUGCUUAUGAAUAUACAUAUUUUGUAGAUAUUCUCACGCGCAUAAAAAAAAAAUACCUUAUAUUUCCUCUGUAUUGAUUUUAGUUAUAUACUUACUUUAUAUUUAAAUAAUUUUUCUUAUAGAAUUAUAAGAUUUCAUAGUUUCUAAUAUAUGUAUCAAUCAUAUUACUUUCGUUUUCCAUAUUUGAAAACACAUACAUAAUUUGCAACAAUUAUAUUACUUCCUUGUAUAUGGUAGCGGUACAUAUACCUCGAGUUUUUUUUUCUUAAAAGAAUUACAAAGAUUUCUUAUCACCAUUUCAGCAAACGAUAAAACAAAUACUUUUUUUUUCUUCUUUCUUUAAAUAUUUUUCUAAACCGAGUGUAAGGACUAUCUUCGAAUAGUCUUUGAGGGAUGCUUAAUACCUUUCACUCGAGUAAUCAAAACCCUUACUCAGAAUCUCAAAAUAUUUUCGAUAGACCAAAAUAGAGUUUAACAUAAAAAUGAUUUUCCUAAUUUUCCUAAAAAAUUAGGUGGCGACUCUAAAAAAGAAUUUUCAAAACCCGAGAGUCACCACGACCACCAUAUGUUGUGUGCUAUUUUGAUCGGUUCAAAAUAGGGCGCGCCAGAAUGGCGACUCUGAUGGGGAUGUAUGAACUUAGGUUUUUACCUUAACACGUUUAGUUUAGGAUUUUCAUGCUCUUAUUGUGUUAUUUGCUUUACAUGUGUUAAUAUCUUGCUUUGUGUGAAAGAACGUAGGGCAAAUCCAAACUUGCAUUCCUUAUUGUCUGAAUAACACUAGUUGUUACUGCUUUAUCACUUGCAUUUUUCCUAUCGAGUCUUGGUCGUACACAAUUCACACACUGAACACGGGAGGGAUGUACUUCACUCUUCCGAACCUUCUUCGAAUUCUUUAGUUUCAUAGUAGGUGCAAUUAGGUUAGUGCGCCUUCUCGCAGCUAUUCAGUUUCACUCUCAAGCAUUUAGAAAAAAAAAUCUUACUCUAGAAAUAGGUCAUAUUACAUACACCUUAGGCAGAACGGUUCGCGGCAUAGUUUUCGCAAUUAGGAAACAACAAUUUAUGUCGACGAGUUCUUCAUAAACCUAACAAUACUAUCUGUGUGAAAUAUAAUUAAUUGAUCCAAAUGUUAAGACCGUAACAGAUUCAGGAUAUUAAACUUACCCUCCUUUUCCUUUGCUGAUGAAAAUAAACCAGAAUUUGGAAAACUUCUAAAUGAUGUCCGAUGUUCCAUGGAUCUUAAGGCAUUGACAGGGGAAUAUUCGGGUGGCCCAUAGAGAAGAAGUGAUGGCGCAUUUGGGAUCAAUGAUAGAUUAAUAGAGCUAAGGAUAAACCAGUUGUUCAUUCGAUUGAUGGUCGAAUUCUGGGAUCCGACCACGGUCACUUUCAGAUUCACAGACUUUGAGAUUACACCCAUUUUGGAAGAUAUCAG